AUUGAACGCUGGCGGAAUGCUUUACACAUGCAAGUCGAGCGGCAGCACGGGGGCAACCCUGGUGGCGAGCGGCGAACGGGUGAGUAAUACAUCGGAACAUGCCCAGUCGUGGGGGAUAACACUUCGAAAGAAGUGCUAAUACCGCAUACGUCCUGAGGGAGAAAGCGGGGGAUCUUCGGACCUCGCGCGAUUGGAGUGGCCGAUGUCAGAUUAGCUAGUUGGUGGGGUAAAGGACUACCAAGGCAACGAUCUGUAGCUGGUCGUAGAGGAUGAUCAGCCACACUGGGACUGAGACACGGCCCAGACUCCUACGGGAGGCAGCAGUGGGGAAUUUUGGACAAUGGGCGCAAGCCUGAUCCAGCCAUUCCGCGUGCAGGAUGAAGGCCCUCGGGUUGUAAACUGCUUUUGUACAGAACGAAAAGCUCUGGGUUAAUACCCUGGGGUCAUGACGGUACUGUAAGAAUAAGCACCGGCUAACUACGUGCCAGCCGCCGCCGUAACAC
rnacentral:rRNA from 1 species